GGACGGGAGACGGGGCAGUGCUUUCCCGUAGUCUCGAGUACCCUUCAGGGCUGUGGGCAUAGUCUGAGAAAUUCAACACAGCAGUCAGCGCAGGAGGCUGCAGCUAUCCUGGGAGGAAGAGGUUUGGAGAACCCAGAGAAGAAAUUGAUGGAAUGAGCCUGAGAUAAUAUUUCAGAACUGGGAGUCUUGAAACAGACCUUCAUUCCUAUCUACCAAAGAAAAUCAAAUGUCAGUUGGCCAAAAGUCCAGCAAAGAAAAAAACAGCAGCUACAGCAAAACUAUGCAAGUUAUCUUUGCACAGGGAGGAGACUAGAAUGCAGCUUUUGUACAGAUCAAAGAAGGCAGAGGAACUCAAAGGGAUGAUGCGAAAGAAAAUGCUUUCAUGCCCCUGGCUUCAGUACGCUGAAAGAGAUAAAGCAACUCCCUGGAGAGGGCUCCACUUCCAGGACAGUUGUGUAUGGUCUUUCUCAAGAUAUUUGAAGAAUUUAUGUUCUUAGGUUUUAGUGAAAAAUAUCAUCUCAUUCCAUUAAAUGGCUAAGUUGGAGACUGUACAGGGAUCAGAGAGUGAAGCAGCUCAAUUACAAGCAGUAUGUCAGAAUGCUAAAUAAAAGUAGUUAAAUAGAAAAAAAAAAAUCUUUCCUACAGUUUUGAGUUUGGGGGCUUUUUUUGCUGCACUGAUUUGUGCAGUUCACUAAUACUUUUUGGCUUUAGCAGGUUUUUAUACUACUCCUGCAGAUCAGAACCUUCAGAGUGUUGUUUGUACCCAGUCUCCUCUGGUUAGACACUUAUUCUUCAGGAAAACUACUUCUAUUCCUCCACACCAAUGUGUUUUUUUCAAUUCCCUAUGCAGAUGGAUUCUUCCAACAAAACUAACUCAUCCUGGAUCAGUGAGAACUGUCCAGUGCCAUUGUCACAUGACUGUCAUUCCUACUGCCUGUAUUGAAAACUGCAUUUGCAAAUGUAUUUUGUAUGGCUUUGCUUUUUGGUUUACUUAUUAAACUGCAGCUGUAGUAAGUUCACACCAUUGCUAUGCAGCAAACUGUCUCUUUGUCUAAAUC